GGUUUGGGUGGCGGACGGGUGAGUAACGCGUAAAGAACUUGCCUCACAGUUAGGGACAACAUUUGGAAACGAAUGCUAAUACCUGAUAUUAUGAUUUUAGGGCAUCCUAAGAUUAUGAAAGCUAUAUGCGCUGUGAGAGAGCUUUGCGUCCCAUUAGCUAGUUGGAGAGGUAACGGCUCACCAAGGCGAUGAUGGGUAGCCGGCCUGAGAGGGUGAACGGCCACAAGGGGACUGAGACACGGCCCUUACUCCUACGGGAGGCAGCAGUGGGGAAUAUUGGACAAUGGACCAAAAGUCUGAUCCAGCAAUUCUGUGUGCACGAUGACGUUUUUCGGAAUGUAAAGUGCUUUCAGUUGGGAAGAAAAAAAUGACGGUACCAACAGAAGAAGUGACGGCUAAAUACGUGCCAGCAGCCGCGGUAAUACGUAUGUCACAAGCGUUAUCCGGAUUUAUUGGGCGUAAAGCGCGUCUAGGUGGUUAUGUAAGUCUGAUGUGAAAAUGCAGGGCUCAACUCUGUAUUGCGUUGGAAACUGCAUGACUAGAGUACUGGAGAGGUAAGCGGAACUACAAGUGUAGAGGUGAAAUUCGUAGAUAUUUGUAGGAUGCCGAUGGGGAAGCCAGCUUACUGGACAGAUACUGAC
rnacentral:rRNA from 1 species